rnacentral:rRNA from 1 species
ACAGGAUUCCCCUAGUAACGGCGAGUGAAGCGGGAGGAGCUCAAGCUUAAAAUCUCCGCGCCAGUUUGGCGUGGCGAAUUGUAGUCUAUGGACGCGUGGUCAGCGCGGGCGCUCGGGGCAAGUUCCUUGGAAGAGGACAGCAUGGAGGGUGAUACUCCCGUGAUUCCCUGGGUUUGCUUGUGCGUACGACCCGUGGUCUUUGAGUCGCGUUGUUUGGGAAUGCAGCGCAAAGUAGGUGGUAAAUUCCAUCUAAAGCUAAAUAUUGGUGCGAGACCGAUAGCGAACAAGUACCGUGAGGGAAAGAUGAAAAGAACUUUGAAAAGAGAGUUAAAGAGUACCUGAAACUGCUGAAAGGGAACCGAAUCGUUUCCAGUGUCUAUAAUCCGCUGCAUAUUUCAUUGGCGGGCGUGUGCGUGUGUGGGCUUUGGCAGUGGCUUUUUUGGCUGCGCUGGGUCUGUGCUGUGCGUGUGUCUGGCGGUGCCCUGUGCUGUGGUGGGACGUCAAGGUCAGUUCGUAUGCUGCGGGAAAUGGCUGCCGAGGAGGUAGGGCUUACGCUCCGCGUUUGUCUGUUAUAUCUUGGUGGACGAGUCGUCGUGGUUGGGACUGAGGUGCCUACAACGUGCUUUUGAGUGUGUGGGAAUCUCUGUGUGCGCGGUGUGCGGAUAGCUUGCUAUGCGUGUGCUGUUGUGCGUGGAUUGAGGCCUGCUGUAGCUUGUUGCCGUUCGGGACGUUGACGAAAUGGAGCGAUCCGACCCGUCUUGAAACACGGACCAAGGAGUCUAACAUGUGUGCAAGUGUUAGGGUGUGGAAACCCGAGCGCGAAAUGAAAGUGAAGGGCAGCUUUUUGCUGUCUGAGGUAGGAAACGUGCGGGCCCUCGGGCUUGCGCGUGGCACUAUCGACCGAUCAUGAACCUUCGUGGUGAAAGAUUUGAGUUUGAGCACAUAUGUUGGUACCCGAAAGAUGGUGAACUAUGCCUGAGUAGGGUGAAGCCAGGGAAACUCUG